rnacentral:lncRNA from 1 species
UCUAAUUUUGGUUAAUUUUAUACUUAAUUUGGUGUUAAUAUGGUUAAGAUAGGUUGUUAUUGAUUUAAAUGUGCUUUUGUAGUUAUUUGAUGAAAGAAGAAUUUUAGUGGAAGAAGGAGAGCAAUUUCAAGGUGCAAACUUUCAAUGCACAUAUUUUUGUAUUUUGGCCAUAACCUUUUCUACAAAGGUUUGAAUGAAGCGAUUCUUAGGCCAUUGGAAAGAUAAGAGAAAGAUCUACAACUUUGAUGUUUACCAUUUUACCCAAUUCGGCUUGUAGAGUGGUUAUAAAUCUUAUCAAGUUUGACACAAUUCAGUAGUCUUAGAGCAAUUACGAUGUCUGUUAAUUAAUUGGGCAAGGCUACGACUUACAUAGUUUGAUGAGGAAAUCCUAGCUGAAAUUGACUUCUUUCUUCACCUAACUUGGCCUAACUUCAAAGCCUAUAAAAACAACCUUUCGAAGGACUUAAGGAAGAAACACCAGAUUAACAGCUG